UGAUAACUAGCGAUUCGCCGUGGACAACAGCAUUCUCUCUCACUGUGUCUGCUGGAGCUCAAUGUUCGAAUGAAAUCCAGUGUCUUAUCGAUUGCCCUGGUCUGUCCUGCUGGAAGUAGGGAGUACACAGUGGAGGUCUGUCUUAGACACAUGUAGGCCUGUGUGUGUUGUGGUUAAGGUGGAAUCUACUGGAUUGUACAAGGAUAGACUUAUUGUCGUAAUCCAUCACAAUGGAAGAAUUAUCCUGAUAACGAGGAAGCGAAACCGUCGAUGAAAUGAUUAACGAUGGAGUCUGAGCACGAUAAGUUGGCUGAUUGGAUAUCUCCAUGACAAGGAAGCUUUCCACACUAACACCAUGCUGAAUAUGAAUGAGGUGGUGACAAUGGUGUGGGCUGUUUUAUCUUCCGUCAUUCCAUCCACAGGUCUGGGCGCUGGCUGUGAAUGCAUUACCUACGACAAUACUUACGGUAAAGAAUAUGGUGUGUUUACAUCUCCCAACUGGCCCGUCCCCUACGAAGAUAACACAGAUUGUAUCCUGUAUACCUUUAUAGCUGGAGAAGACGAAAUAGUCGAGAUCACGUUUGACGAAUUUGAUCUACAAAAAACAAAUUUAGAUUGUAUAUAUGGAGAUUACGUGAAGUUAUUUCUUCAUUUGAAAGAAAGUUCCGUUAACGAACAUACACCAUGGAAUUUAGUGAUGUGUGGAAAAUUGGGUGAUAUCGAUCAGACACAUUAUUCAUCAAGUUAUUCGCUUGUUUUUGAAUUCCAUUCUGAUUGGAGGCAAGGAAAUAACACCGGUUUUCGCGGAACUUAUCGAUUUCUUAGCCAAAAAAUGUUUGAAACUCAAGGAAAUUUAAAACCAGGAACUCUUUGUGAUUAUCAGUUCUUCAGUGGCAGUACUAAUCAUUCGAGGGGGAAGUUUUACUCCCCUCAAUAUCCCAGUACCUAUCCGAAAGACAUUAAGUGCACUUAUCGCUUCAUGGCCAGAUAUAACGAACGGGUUAAAGUGAUGUUUGAACACAUCCGAUUGCAAAGAGGUGAUUUGAGUUGUCUGAACAGUCCCGAUGUCAUUAUGGUAUACGAUGGAGAAGACAACAAUUGUCUAGUAAUAGGGGAAUUGUGCAACACAAACACAUUUGUAGAAUAUGUAUCUACGGGUUCGGAUAUGUUUAUAGAGUUUCUCAGCAGAAGUCAUUUCCCAGGACAAGGUUUUAAAGGAGUUUAUACUUUCGAAGAUGAAAGUACCGUAGUUUCUUAUGUCGAUGUGCCAUCCAUUGAAUCAGUAAGAAGAACUUUGGAGUAUCACACGACAACAGUACUACCAGCAACCAGCUGUGAUCAACGUAUAACCAGUGACGUUACUAAAAAUGGAACCUUUACUAGUCCCAACUAUCCCGAGCCAUAUCCAAUGCACAUCCACUGCACUUAUCACUUUAUGGGAAGAGGAAAAGAAAGAGUACAGAUUUUUUUUACGGAUUUCGAUUUACAUAUGUCCCAUGAACCAUCAAAAGAUUGCGAUUCAGUUGAUGCAGUUAUGGUCUUUAUAACAAUUAAUGGACAAAAAGAAAGAGUAGAUAAUUUCUGUGGUAAGGAUCUUCCUGCCCAGUUGAUGUCUAAUGGAGCUUCGAUGAUUGUAGAAUUUCGAUCCAUACAUUCGUCUCCGGAUGUAAAAGGAUUUAGAGCAAUAUACAGAUUUGUAACAAAUUUCGGAAUAACAGGUUUCAAACAAGAUUCGCAAUCUGUGUGUGGUUUCAUCUUUAAUAGUACAGAACGCUCUAACGGUACGUUUACAACUCCUAAUUGGCCAGGAUACUACCCUAGAGACACUGAAUGCCAUUAUUUCUUUUAUGGGCAAGCGAAAGAAAAAGUUCAUAUUACUUUUGCGUAUUUUGACGUGGAUGGCAUACCUCCAUGCACUACCGAUUCAGCCAGCGAUUACGUGGAAUUUUCCAAUUUUAAAACCGUGGAUAGAAAAUUGGCAAGACAUUGCGGUCAUAAAAAACCAAAAGUGAUCGAUUCUGAUGGAGAUUUCUUUCGCGUCACUUUUAAAUCCAAUGAUAAAUUCGAUGGUACAGGAUUUGAGGCUUUUUACCAGUUUAGAACACAUAUGGACCCGUUUACAGUGAAAAGAGUUUCCACUUCUAACGGAAAUCACGGCCUUGUGCUGAUUCGACUGCAUUUUAUCAGAUGACAUACGGAACCAAGUUAAUCGAACUUUCGACAAACAACAGGAUAAUCUUAUCUUAAGCACAAAAAUAAAAAUUGUGUAUUUAUCGGAAACAUACAAAAUGAAACUGCCUUAAUACAGAAAAUAGUUUUAACACCUUUUAAUCUUUCACCAUCUACAAUUUUAUAUGUAUUAUGAAACAGUAUUUUUGUUUUAUUACAUUAUGGACAUAAUUUAUCUAUAAGGAUAUGUAUCUAAAUACAAUUUCUAUAUAUAAACUAACUAUUGUAAAUGUAUUGAUUUUACUUACUGUUUAAAAAUAAUUUACAGUUACAUAACUGAUGGGAAUAAAUGGAAAGUAACAAAAAAAAAAUUUUUUAUUGAAAAUAUAAAAAAGCAUUACUUCAUAAAUAUCAGUAAUUUGUGGGUAAAUUUAUUAACCAAUGUUUCAGAAAUUUAAGUGUAUGUAUAUGUGUGUAUGUAUAUAUAUAUGCCAAGUUUCACACUGAGGACAUUUAUGACAACCACCUUCAAAUUUAACAUGUAAUUGUUGUAGAAAUUUUAGUGAUUACAAGACUAAAAAUUUUUAGUGCUAUUUAUGAAUUAAUUUAAUCUC
rnacentral:misc_RNA from 1 species